rnacentral:rRNA from 1 species
UCUAAUACCGGAUAGGACCACUUGGCGCAUGCCUUGUGGUGGAAAGCUUUUGCGGUGUGGGAUGGGCCCGCGGCCUAUCAGCUAGUUGGUGGGGUGAUGGCCUACCAAGGCGACGACGGGUAGCCGGCCUGAGAGGGUGUCCGGCCACACUGGGACUGAGAUACGGCCCAGACUCCUACGGGAGGCAGCAGUGGGGAAUAUUGCACAAUGGGCGCAAGCCUGAUGCAGCGACGCCGCGUGGGGGAUGACGGCCUUCGGGUUGUAAACCUCUUUCAGCAGGGACGAAGCGCAAGUGACGGUACCUGCAGAAGAAGCACCGGCCAACUACGUGCCAGCAGCCGCGGUAAUACGUAGGGUGCGAGCGUUGUCCGGAAUUACUGGGCGUAAAGAGCUCGUAGGUGGUUUGUCGCGUUGUUCGUGAAAACCGGGGGCUUAACCCUCGGCGUGCGGGCGAUACGGGCAGACUAGAGUACUGCAGGGGAGACUGGAAUUCCUGGUGUAGCGGUGGAAUGCGCAGAUAUCAGGAGGAACACCGGUGGCGAAGGCGGGUCUCUGGGCAGUAACUGACGCUGAGGAGCGAAAGCGUGGGGAGCGAACAGGAUUAGAUACCCUGGUAGUCCACGCCGUAAACGGUGGGUACUAGGUGUGGGUUUCCUUCCUUGGGAUCCGUGCCGUAGCUAACGCAUUAAGUACCCCGCCUGGGGAGUACGGCCGCAAGGCUAAAACUCAAAGGAAUUGACGGGGGCCCGCACAAGCGGCGGAGCAUGUGGAUUAAUUCGAUGCAACGCGAAGAACCUUACCUGGGUUUGA